UACAGAGGUGGCAAGCGUUGUUCGGAUUUACUGGGCGUAAAGGGUCCGUAGGCGGUUCGGUUAGUCAAAUGUGAAAGCCCACAGCUCAACUGUGGAACUGCAUUUGAAACUGCCGAGCUAGAGUAUGAGAGGGGUUAAGGGAAUUCCCGGUGUAAGGGUGAAAUCUGCAGAGAUCGGGAGGAACACCAGUCGCGAAGGCGCUUAACUGGCUCAUUACUGACGCUCAGGGACGAAAGCUAGGGUAGCAAACGGG
rnacentral:rRNA from 1 species